GAAUCUGCAUACUGCAGUAAAGGUACGCAUCAAGGCGUUAAUGUUGAAUACAACAAGGAUACUGUAUACCACAGCAAAGAGACUGCAUAGAGCAGUAAAGCAUCGCACCAAGUCGACAAUGAUGGCACUGGGCAGAAGAGUGGAACUGAAAGAGACAAAAUCCAUCGGGACAUAGCAAACUAACCCAGAUUCCACAAAACCAGAGACACCCGCUCAACUAGCAUCCGGUAACUUUCCACAUGAGAAGAAACGGAGAGUGAAGAGCAGGAGCAAACCUGGAGGAUCGGGAGGGGUGGGAAGGUGACAACGUCGGACGGAGAGGUGGUCAAG
rnacentral:lncRNA from 1 species